rnacentral:rRNA from 1 species
CCCUUAGAUAUCCUAGGCUGCACGCGAGCUACAAUGGUAUAUAUAAAAGGUUGCUGCUCUGAGAAGACUGGCAAUACUCUGAUAUAUAUCGUAUUUGGAAUAGAUUUUUGUAAUUAUCAAUCUUGAACGAGGAAUUCCUAGUAAAAAUAUUUCAUCAUAAUGUUUUGAUUGUGUCCCUGCCCUUUGUACACACCGCCCGUCGCUCCUACCGAUUGAAUAUUCCGGUGAGAAGAUAGGAGAAAAAUCUUUUGAUUUUUUGAAUAUUUUUGAACCUUGAUAUUUAGAGGAAGGAGAAGUCGUAACA